rnacentral:rRNA from 1 species
GACGAACGCUGGCGGCGUGCUUAACACAUGCAAGACGAGCGGAAAGGCCCUUCGGGGUACUCGAGCGGCGAACGGGUGAGUAACACGUGAGCAACCUGCCCUUAGCUUCGGGAUAGCUCCGGGAAACCGGAAUUAAUACCGGAUAUGACUACGGCCGACAUCGGCCAUGGUGGAAAGUUUUUCGGCUAGGGAUGGACUCGCGGCCUAUCAGCCAGUUGGUGAGGUAACGGCCCACCAAGGCGACGACGGGUAGCCGGCCUGAGAGGGCGACCGGCCACACUGGGACUGAGACACGGCCCGGACUCCUACGGGAGGCAGCAGUGGGGAAUAUUGCGCAAUGGGCGAAAGCCUGACGCAGCGACGCCGCGUGGGGGAUGAAGGCCUUCGGGUUGUAAACCCCUUUCAGCAGGGACGAAGCGAGAGUGACGGUACCUGCAGAAGAAGCGCCGGCUAACUACGUGCCAGCCGCCGCAGUAAAAC